rnacentral:rRNA from 1 species
GUGCCAGCCGCCGCGGUAAUUCCAGCUCCAAUAGCGUAUAUUAAAGUUGUUGUGGUUAAAAAGCUCGUAGUUGAACCUUGGGCCUGGCUGGCCGGUCCGCCUCACCGCGUGCACUGGUCCGGCCGGGCCUUUCCCUCUGUGGAACCCCAUACCCUUCACUGGGCGUGGCGGGGAAACAGGACAUUUACUUUGAAAAAAUUAGAGUGCUCCAGGCAGGCCUAUGCUCGAAUACAUUAGCAUGGAAUAAUAAAAUAGGACGCGCGGUUCUAUUUUGUUGGUUUAUAGGACCGCCGUAAUGAUUAAUAGGGACAGUCGGGGGCAUCAGUAUUCAACUGUCAGAGGUGAAAUUCUUGGAUCAGUUGAAGACUAACUACUGCGAAAGCAUUUGCCAAGGAUGUUUUCAUUAAUCAGGAACGAAAGUUAGGGGAUCGAAGACGAUCAGAUACCGUCGUAGUCUUAACCAUAAACUAUGCCGACUAGGGAUCGGACGGUGUUACUCAUGACCCGUUCGGCACCUUACGAGAAAUCAAAGUGCUUGGGCUCCAGGGGGAGUAUGGUCGCAAGGCUGAAACUUAAAGAAAUUGACGGAAGGGCACCACCAGGGGUGGAGCCUGCGGCUUAAUUUGACUCAACACGGGGAAACUCACCAGGUCCAGACACAAUAAGGGAUUGACAGAUUGAGAGCUCUUUCUUGAUUUUGUGGGUGGUGGAUGCAUGACGUUCUUAGUUGGUGGGGGUGACUUGUCUGCUUAAUUGCGAUAACGAACGAGACCUUAACCUGCUAAAUAGCCCGCAUUGCUCCGGGCAGUGCGCUGGCU